UGUUACAACAAAUUGCUCUCAAACAUAGUUUGAAAGUAAAGUAAGUUAAGAAAUUGAUGCGAUCUUCAUUAACAGGACUCAAAGAAGGGCCACCAGUUAGCGAAUUUAUCGAAAUUCUUGGCCCAAAGUUUUGUUCUGGUCGUCUAGUUCACAGCCUAAAUUUAAUAGUUAGAUAUAAUUAUCGAAUCAAAAGAUGUAGACCAUACACGAUGCUAAUUAAU